CUGAGCCUGAAGCCAGUCGAUGGUCUUCUUGUCCACUUGGAAAGCCUUGGCGAGGAUUUCAUCCGAGAUGGGGGGAUUCGACCCGAACACAGCAUCGGCGAUGGUGAUGGUGCCAGGGUUUUGGCUGCUGAGAGCACCGAUGGCGAAGGUGUUGGUGUGCCCAGGGUUGAACUGGAAGUGGAUGAGGCCUUGGGGGAACACAAACACAUCACCCUUCUUCAGCAUCUUGGUGAAGAGACGGUUGCCGUCGUCGCUGUUGGAUGUGACGAAGCCGACCAAGAGCUGUCCCUCUAUGACGGUGAGGAUCUCGGUGGCACGGGGGUGAGUGUGGGGCGGGUUGAGGCCAUUGGGGAUGUAGUCGAUGCGAACCAUGGAGAUGCCGAGGGUGUUGAGCCCUGGAAUCUGGAUCACGUUGGCAGGCGUGACAUUGAACCCGAAAUUGUUCUUUCCUGUAUCGCCGGGCAUGUCGAGGCCAGAAAGAGAGAAGUCGUCGGCUUUCACAACCAUGGGGUCCUUGCAGACGAAUCCAUUCACCCGCACUGCAACAGCAGAAGGAAGAAGCAAACUCGGUCGGUAAACAUGCAUCAGGAGAACAAACGCACCGAAGGAAAUUAAUCUGGAUACUAUGAAUACCUUUAGACAUCAUAUCUGCGACACAGAAGUCUUGAAGUUGGCUAGGAUCGGAAGCCAUUGCAAGAGAGGAAGCCAUGGCGAGGAGAACAAGGAGAAACAUUUCGGCGGCCAUCUGUAAUCUCUUAGAUGGAUGGGAUUACCUGGUGCCGUGAUACAGUGGCCUGGAAGAGACGGGUAUAUAUAGAGAAGCAGGCUCUGAAACAUUCAUGAUCAUUAGGUGAAGGAGAUGAAAAGUAUACCAUGUUAGGUUGCUUUCUUCUUGCAAUAUAUUUUCUAUAGCCGUCACCUCGUACGAGAUCCAUAUGAUGCACAGUAACCAUUAAAUUUGUUGACGUGUCUCAGUAACCUAAUCCAUGACCAUUUUAUAUGUAUAUAUAUAAUGAUGGAGCUUUUAGUUAGAUCAUGCUGUAGUGUAAAAUGGACUCUUACGUUCGACUGCAUAAUCCACCACGUGAGAUUUUUGUGACGACCUUACGCUACCAAACAAGAGGAGAAGUCAGCAAAGAUGUGGCAGCUGAACAGAACAAGCUAAGGACAGGUAGAAAGAACAAGAAGCCAAAGAUGUGAUUACCAAUUUGACCUUGUCGGGUCUUGUGUACUGCUACGGCUGAUACCGUGUAUUAUAAUUAAGGUGUUCUACGUCAUCUCCGACUAUUUUCAUCACACUGAGACGUCGCGUGCAUGUUGCAAAGAAGUAUGUAAAUACGUAAGUUCUUAAGAGAUUAUAAGUUGAUAUAAUGCUGUCCAAGAAUAGUAAGCAUGUUGAUAGUUGCCUCUACGUUAAACGCUUAUGGGAUCCUAAGUUAUUAAGAGAUCAUAAGAGAUUUUAAAAAUACUAAAUCUUCGUAUAUAGGUAUACAAGAAUAUUGUACGAUUUAGAUAAAAUCAAUUAUAUUCGUGAUAAAAAUCAAUGAGGUUAGGUGAGAUAAAAUAUUUUUUUUAAUUAAAUAUCUAAAGUAAAAUUAACAUAUCAACAUUACAUUGUUCACAUAAAAUUUAUAAUCAUAUUAUCUAUAAUACGAAAAAAAAAUUAUGUCAAAAUUUAAAAUCAAAUAAUAAUGGAUCUAAAUAAUAUUACGAUGCAUACCUUUCGUUGUUAUUUAGAAGAAUAAAUAUUAUCUGAUCUACAGGCGUAUCAUCGUCGGAUCUAAAUGAAAUACUUCUAUUUAGCCCUUAAGAUCAUAUCUAUUUAUAAACAAAAACAAAGAGUCUAAGAUAAGAUAUUAGAAGAAUUCCUCCCAUAAGGAUAUCCUUGGAAUCCUACUAUAAUAUGAAUUUUUUUUUUAUUAAUCAAUAAUCAUAAUCAGAAUUCAAUCAUAUCUAUAAUAUAUUUUACCUAAUUAAAUAUGACCACACAAUCUAACACUCAAUCAUAAAUCCACGAAUCAUAAAUCCAUAAAAAACCAGAAUUUUUGAACUCAUUUCAACCGAGUUCCCAAAAAGUUUAUUAAGUAAAUAAGAUAUUAUUAUGAAUACAAAACAUUUUAAAGUUUUAUAGAUGAUAAUUCUUUUCUAGAAGGUUCUGCCAGCGAGGAUGAAUAAAAAAAAAAGAAAAAUAUCGAUAUAAUAUUUGUAAUUUAUAUAAAUAUAAACAUUUUUCGUCCAUCCAACUCAGCGACCUCUCUGGCAAUCAGAAAGAUUUCAAUAACGAUCAAACAAAGGCUAAUCGAUUAUUUCAGUCAUCAGAUUUUGGUGGCAACGACAUGUUACCAAACACCAUAAAGAAGCUCUCAAAGUCCGACCACGAGACAAGACAAAGUUGCCAGUACGAAUCCGUCUCCGUUCUUCGACCUCGUUCCAUACUGUAUAUUACGAUCGAAGUGAACUGUGUCAUCUUCAACUAUUUCACCAUCACACUGUUUAUAUAUUAUUAUGGUCUAUUUGUGAUCACAACAUAAGAGUUCAAAUUCAUAAUUAUAUUUCAUUUUAGUAAAUGAAUAAAUUGGAGUGAUUGAUACCGCCGGUUAUAGGUGGAUGCAAUCGAGCCAUAUACUACUACUGAACUUUGUAGAUCCCAUGUCAUACAAGUCAAGACAAAAGCACUCCUUUCGGGAAUUCUUGGUGAUGACUUGUUGAAGUUAUGAUCGUGUAUACAAUAUCUCAUGUUUCAGUCAUAAUAUUUGCAUAAAUUGACUUAUUACCGGUAUAUUUUAGUAAAGUUGUCUGCAUAGAUAUAUAAAGUUCAUGAACCUGAGGGAGGAUAAACAUAAGGUGGAUAAAGAAGUAUGCAUAUAUAUAUAUAAUAUGAGAUAUUACACUUUUUGAGGAUGCUGCACUCCAUAUAAUCUAUAAUCUUCCAGGUGGGAAAUACUAUCAUAUGAUCUAAAUAUUGAAAUAUGACUCAUGGAUUUCUUUCUUAAAAAUCAAGUUUUAUUUAUUAUAUUUAAUGACGUGUUUAUAUGAAAUUUGCAACAGUACACCAAUCGUAUGUCAAUAGAGAUGACUCGAGAAUUCUGAAACAUGACACACUUCAUACGUACUUUUCAUAACAUAGAAAGGUCUCUUAAUUCCAUUACAAUAGCAAACGCAAACAGGUAGUCCACUGUUUGCUUAUUCACACCAAAACACACGAGCUAAGAGUGCAGCUUAAUUCAUUCCUCCGACUAGUUUUUCUUCGCGAACUGAGCCUGAAGCCAGUCGACAAGCUUCUUGUCCACUUGGAAAGCCUUGGCGAGGAUUUCAUCCGAGAUGGGGGGAUUCGCCCCGAACACAGCAUCGGCGAUUGUGAUGGUGCCGGGGUUUUGGCUACUGAGAGCACCGAUGGCGAAGGUGUUGGUGUACCCAGGGUUGAACUGGAAGUGGAUGAGGCCUUGAGGGAACACAAACACAUCACCCUUCUUCAGCAUCUUGGUGAAGAGGCGGUUGUCGGUGUUGGAUGUGACGAAGCCGACUAAGAGCUGUCCCUCUAUGACGGUGAGGAUCUCGGUGGCACGGGGGUGAGUGUGGGGCGGGUUGAGGCCUUUGGGGAUGUAGUCGAUGCGAACCAUGGAGAUGCCGAGGGUGUUGAGUCCUGGAAUCUGCAUCACGUUGGCAGGCGUGACAUUGAACCCGAACUUGUUUCCGGUAUCGCCAGGCAUGUCGAGGCCAGAAAGAGAGAAGUCGUCGGCUUUCACAACCAUGGGGUCCUUGCAGACGAACCCAUUCACCCGCACUGCAACAGCAGAAGGAAGAAGCAAACUCGGUCGGUAAACAUGCAUCAGGAGAACAAACGCACCGAAGGAAAUUAAUCUGGAUACUAUGAAUACCUUUAGAGUCCUUAUCUGCGACACAGAAGUCUUGAAGUUGACUAGGAUCAGAAGCCAUUGCCAGAGAGGAAGCCAUGGCGAGGAGAACAAGGAGAAACAUCUCGGUGGCCAUCUGUAAUCUCUUAGAUGGAUGGGAUUACUUGGGGCCUUGAUACAAUGGCCUGGAAGAGACGGGUAUAUAUAGAGAAGCAGGCUCUGAAACAUUCACGAUCAUUAGGUGAAGGAGAUGAAAAGUAUACCAUGUUAGGUUGCCUUCCUCUCGCGAUAAUAUUGUCUAUAGCCGUCUCCUCGUACGAGCUUCAUCUGAUGCAGGGUAACAAAUAGGUUUUUUGACGCUGUCUCAGUGAUUGCUUGAAUGCAUGCGUUCGCCGACAAAGAAAAAUAGUUCUUUAGUUUAAUGCAUCCAACCUAAUCCAUGACCACAUCGUAUACACAAUAAUGGAGCUUUUCAACCUAAUCCGAAAUCCACCGGGUGAGAUUUUGGUGACGACGUCAAGAUACCAAGCACGAUGAGAAGUUUGCAAACAUGUGGGAGAUCAGGUGAACAAGAGCAAGGUUGUGUCAAAAGAACAAGACAAUAGUGUGUCGUUGCCAAUUUGACUUCGUCUGAUGCCGUGUAUUAUGAUUCAAGGUAUUCUUUGUCAGUACAAAGUAUGUAUGUAUGUAUAGCAUGCACAUCAGUGGUGACACCUUCCUUCCUUAUUGCGAUACCCAAUAUGACUGACUUCAUAUAAUGUUAAUCUUAGUACUUGAGAGAUGAAAAGAAGGGAAAAGAAUAGAAGAGAAUAAUAUCAUAUUCAUAAAAAUUGAGAGAAUGGAAUUACAUAUAUUGGAUUUAGCACACAUCCCAACAAGAUUAACUUUUUGGGUUAAUUAGGUUACCGAUCUAUAUAAUUUUUACCCUGGCUAAGUUAAUUUAUCAUGAUCGAUUUCGACAAAUGAGUCAAAAAGAUUAAAGGAUACAGAUAUUAGUGGUAUUUUUUCACCUAAAUUAUUAGACCAACUUGAUUUAACUUGGAAAAAGACAAAAAAAAAAAGAUUUUGGAAACUGUUAUACUGCCUAAUUUUGAGUCAGUUCAAUCCUCUUGAAUCAGUUUCAAUUCUCUUGAUUGAAUUAUAGGUCAACUCUUUCUCUCUCUCUCUCUCUCAUUUGGGAAAGUGAGAUCAUUUGUAAUCAAGCAAAAUUUCUUGCUCUGAAUAAAUAAAAAAAACUAUAUAUAUCAAUAAAUCUAUACUAUUUUUUUAGUUUUUCAAUUGAACUAAAAUUCACUGUGUGAUUUUGUUAAACCAAAAAUACAUCUCUUAUGAUAGAAAUAGCAUUUGCUUCAUGUAAGGUCUUGAUUUCGUUAUUCUUCAAUUGAUGUGGGAUUUAUAUUUUGUAUCUUGUCUUAAAAUUCAUAUACUUGAUCUAAAAUUUAUGAUUUUAUUAUUAUCAUUAAUUUUCUUUAUCGAAAGAUUAGAGUACACGUUAAACUGCCUAACACGAAAUCAUAUGAUUUUGUGCAUUCAAAGUGGACCCAAAAGACAUCUCAGGAUAGAAAUAACAAUUGUUUGGAACGAAGCAAGAGACAUAUUCUAUCGCAAAAACAAUUGCAAAUAGUUAUCCACUGUUUGCUUAUUUAAAGCACAUAAUUUCAGCACGUCAUGUCAACUUGCAACAACGAAGCUUUCUAGUUGUUGUUGUCCAUCCAGAACUGAGCCUGAAGCCAGUCGAUGGUCUUCUUGUCCACCUGGAAAGCCUUGGCCAGAACAUCGUCAGAGAUGGGUGGCUUCGACCCGAACACAGCGUUAGCGAUGGUGAUCGUGCCGGGGUUUUGGCUACUAAGAGCACCGAUUGCGAUAGUGUUGCAGUUGCCGGGAUUGAACUGGAAGUGGAUGAGGCCCUCAGGGAACACAAACACAUCGCCCUUCUUCAGCAUCUUGGUGAAGAGACGGUUGUCGGUGUUGGAUGUGACGAAGCCGACCAAGAGCUGUCCUUCUAUGACGGUGAGGAUCUCGGUGGCACGGGGGUGAGUGUGGGGAGGGUUGAGGCCUUUGGGCCCGUAGUCGAUGCGAACCAUGGAGAUGCCGAGGGUGUUGAGUCCGAUGAGCUUGUUCACGUUGACGGCAGUGACCAUGGAGCCGAGCUUGUUUACCGUGUUGCCGGCUUUGUCGAGUCCCAUGAAGAAGAAGUCUUCGGCUGUCACGUGCUUGGGGUCUUUGCAGACGAAUCCAUUCACCAGCACUGCAGCAGCAACAAGAAAACUCGAUCAGUAAACAUGCAUUAAUCGAAAUCGUGGACCUGCAGGUACGGUGUUCGAUCCUUAAACUCGCCUUUAGAGUCCUUAUCGGCGACGCAGAAGUCUUGAAGAGGGCUAGGAUCAGAAGCCAUUGCGAGAGAGGAAGCCAUGGCAAGGAGAGCGAUGAGGAGGAUUUUGGCUGCCAUCCCUGUAAUCUUCAGGACGGAUGAAGCUACAAUUGGUGUUGUGAUACAAAUGCACGAAGGAGAUGGAUAUAUAGAGAGGGGGAGGGGGAGAGAGGCAGGGUUGAAACAUUCUUGAUCAUUUGGUAAGAGAGCUGAAUAGUAUGCCUUUUGCUUAUAAUAAUAAUAAUGUCUAUGGACUGUGCGUGCUUCUUAUCUUGUGCAGAGAAAGAGUCUACCAAGAGGAGCUUAGUUAUUCUCCACUUGGUUUUGGUCAACGACUAUAUCUUGUAUGUAGUAAAUGCCAUUCAAUCGACAGCGUUUUGAUGAUGGCAGGUCGCUACCAAAUGCCAAGCAAAUUCAUGGAACCAGUGGAGCAUAUGGAUCCACCAGAAGUGCUAGUGAACCAAUGAUCUCAGUUUGACUUCAUCUAACAUCAAGUACUAAUAAUGGAAGGCGUUUUCUGUCACCUUCGAACAUGACCAGGACAAUGCGUGCAGCGACUUCAUCUAACAUCGAAUUCUAUAGUGCAAGCGUUCCGUGUGCGUUGACUGGCAUUAUAUAGAUCGCGUAUACGAGUACUGACACCUUCGCUCUUCGUCGCAACAUCACAUUGGAAAUCGUGUUCAUCGUUAUGUGAUACGUGAUGCGGUGGGUAAAAGAAGGCACACAUGAACUGAAACCUUCGUUCGACAUGUUCUUACAAUCGAGAAUGAGUCUGACUCGAUUUUGUUGAUUAGCAUACACUAAAAUUAAUAUAAAUUCAGCAUACACAAACUCAAUAUAUGUAAUUAGGCUCACUUAGUUAUUAUCUAUGGGACUAAUCUAACAACCUUCUCUUCAUAUAUAUUAGAAUCGAUGCUAAUUUAACUUGUAAGUUUAAGUGUGUAGAUUAUGGGUCAAACCCAAUAUAUAUAACCCAACUUUUUAAUUUUUGUUAGGCUCAUCUUCCUCAUCUUUUCAAUCUUCAUUUCACAUUUCAACAUUUCAUAAUAUUUCAAUAUAUUUUAAAUAACUUUAAUUGAGUUUAUAAUGAGCUCAAUAAAAUAGUAAAUCCUAAUUAUUCAGAGUCAUCCGAGUUUAACACUAACAAAUAGAUUUGCUGCAAUGUGGCUUAGCAAUUAAUAAUGAUCUCAUCAGUGAUCUCGCUCUCAAUUGUUGACUCUUAACAUGAUAUUUAUUUUUAGUCGGAAAACAUGAGGAUUAUUCCGAUCACUACAGAGAAAACAAACUGUAAUAACAUGCAAACGGCUGACUUCGAUCGAUCGCCAAGUGUUUGCUUAUUGGAAUGUUAACAUGGAUGUGAAGAAGCUGCAGUGGUGGUGUUUCUUCUGUUGUUGUUGUCCAUCUAGAACUGAGCCUGAAGCCAGUCGAUGGUCUUCUUGUCCACCUGGAAAGCCUUGGCCAGAACAUCAUCGGAGAUGGGCGGCUUCGACCCGAACACAGCGUUGGCGAUUGUGAUGGUGCCGGGGUUUUGGCUACUGAGAGCACCGAUGGCGAUAGUUUUGGUGUGCCCAGGGUUGAACUGGAAGUGGAUGAGGCCUUGUGGGAACACAAACACAUCACCCUUCUUCAGCAUCUUGGUGAAGAGACGGUUGCCGUCGUCGGUGUUGGAUGUGACGAAGCCGACCAAGAGCUGUCCUUCUAUGACGGUGAGGAUCUCGGUGGCACGAGGGUGAGUGUGGGGAGCGUUGAGGCCUCUGGGUGCGUAGUCGAUGCGAACCAUGGAGAUGCCGAGGGUGUUGAGUCCGACGAGCUGGUUCACGUUGACGGCGGUGACAUUGGAGCCGACCUUGUUUACUGUGUCGCCAGCUUUGUCGAGUCCCCUGAAGAAGAAGUCUUCGGCUUUCACCACCUUGGGGUCCUUGCAGACGAACCCAUUCACCAGCACUGCAACAGGAGGAAGCAAACUCGAUCAGUAAAUAUGCAUCGGGAGAGCAAACGCACCGAAGGAGAUUAAUCUGGAUACUAUGAAAUACCUUUAGAGUCCUUAUCUGCGACACAGAAGUCUUGAAGAGGACUAGGAUCAGAAGCCAUUGCAAGAGAGGAAGCCAUGGCAAGGAGCGCAAGGAGAAGCAUUUUCGCUGCCAUCUGUGUAAUCUUUAGGAUGGAUGAAGCUGCAAUUGGUGUUGUGAUACCAAUGGCUUGGAGGAGAUGGGUAUAUAUAGAGAAUCAGGCAUUGACAUAUUCCUCAUCAUUUGGUGAGAGAGUUGAAAAGUAUGACAUGUUAGGUUGCCUUCUGCUUACAAUAAUGUUUGUAGACUUCCCCUUUUACGUAGUUGUUAUCAAGAUAUUGACGCAGUUUUGAGAAAAGGUCUAAGAGAAGCUUCCUCUUCACCGUCAGUUUCUUAUACGUAGUAAAUGCAUUCACGUUGUCGAACCAUGCAAUUGGCAGUGUAGCCAAUUCAACAGAUGGGAAACCAGUGGGUAUCUCAUUCUGACUUCAUCUAACAUCAGAUACUAUAAUGCAAGCCUUCUCUGUCACCUUCAAACAUGACCACGGCAACAGGUUGCGUGCUUGACCAACAUCAAAUACUAUGUUGCAAGCGUUAUAUGUGAAUGCAGUGACUAUCGUAUAUAUGGUGCAUGCUUGCACAAGUAGCGAACAACUUCCCACUUUAUUGCGACGCUAGUAUAUUAAUUGAUUAAGGUCUCUUUUAGCUUGUAUGUAUCUCUUAAGCUUUUAUAGUUUAUUCAUAUCUAAAAUAAUCUUUAUAUUUUUCAAAACAUAUAAUAUAAAUUUUUCUCAUCAAAUUUGAGUUAACAAAUGAUAGGUAACAUAUUGACUUAUAAUAAACCAUUAAUAUAAUGACAUAUAUAAUUUAAGGUUAAGGUCCAUUUUAAUAUCUACAGUUUUGACCAUAGAUCUCUUAAGCCUUUAUGGUUUAUUCAUGUCUAAAAUAACUUUUAUAUUUUCAAAAAUGUAGCAUAAAACAUAUCUCACCAAGUCUGAGUUAAUAAAUGUUGGAGUCUACUUACAUAGUGACUCAAAAUAAACUAUCAAUAUAAUAACAUGUAUAAUUUAAGUUUAAAAAACUAAGACUUCCAUCAGUGGUGGGAGGAGGUGUUAUCGUGGAAGCGACCACUAGCAGUAGCACCGAGUUGCUACUACUUAGCAGGGUGUCGUACCAAGCCUCUCCUGCAUUGACGAUGAGCUCAAGUGCUUCUAGAUGUCACUUGCCAGCUCUAGGGCACAUGUCACCACGGCAUUGCUUACCAUCGUGAACUGCACCCACUCCGAUUCUAACGAGUACCAUCAUACCUUGUAAGUCACCUCCCUUGCAAAACAUGACAUCAUGAUGAUUGAGAGCAGCAGAAGGAGUGGUUGAGUUGGUCCAUGUAUCCCUCCCACAUUCACUCGCUCUCCCCGACUAACUUAUCAAGGAAAGAGGAAGAGACAGAUGAAGGCAGAUAGGUA
rnacentral:lncRNA from 1 species